rnacentral:rRNA from 1 species
AGGAUGAACGCUGGCGGCGUGCCUAAUACGUGCAAGUCGAGCGGUAAGGUCCCUUCGGGGAUACACGAGCGGCGGACGGCUGAGUAACACGUAGGAACGUACCCCAAAGUGAGGGAUAAGCACCAGAAAUGGUGUCUAAUACCGCAUGUGAUCUUCGGAUUAAAGCUCCGGCGCUUUGGGAACGGCCUGCGCAUGAUUAGCUUGUUGGUGAGGUAAUGGCUCACCAAGGCGAUGAUCAUUAGCUGGUCUGAGAGGAUGACCAGCCAGACUGGAACUGAGAACGGUCCAGACUCCUACGGAGGCAGCAGUAGGGAAUUUUCCACAAUGGACGAAAGUCUGAUGGAGCAACGCCGCGUGCAGGAUGAAGGCUCUAGGGUCGUAAACUGCUUUUAUAUGUGACGAUUAUGACGGUAGCAUAUGAAUAAGGAUCGGCUAACUCCGUGCCAGCAGCCGC